AACGAACGCUGGCGGCAUGCCUAACACAUGCAAGUCGAACGAGACCUUCGGGUCUAGUGGCGCACGGGUGCGUAACGCGUGGGAACCUGCCCUUAGGUUCGGAAUAACUCCCCGAAAGGGGUGCUAAUACCGGAUAAUGUCUUCGGACCAAAGAUUUAUCGCCUUUGGAUGGGCCCGCGUUGGAUUAGCUAGUUGGUAGGGUAAGAGCCUACCAAGGCGACGAUCCAUAGCUGGUCUGAGAGGAUGAUCAGCCACACUGGGACUGAGACACGGCCCAGACUCCUACGGGAGGCAGCAGUGGGGAAUAUUGGACAAUGGGCGAAAGCCUGAUCCAGCAAUGCCGCGUGAGUGAUGAAGGCCUUAGUGUUGUAAAGCUCUUUUACCCGGGAUGAUAAUGACAGUACCGGGAGAAUAAGCUCCGGCUAACUCCGUG
rnacentral:rRNA from 1 species